rnacentral:lncRNA from 1 species
GUUGUUCCGGUUUCCGUCCUUCCUAGUUCCCAUCCUGACUACGCCAUCGAUCGUGCGAGUGCUGCUUUCAUAACUCGACGACUCAACGCUUGGGAUUGGGGGCCCAUGUCCAAUGGCGGCAACAGGCGUCUGGCGACUAGGAUCAAGAGCAGUGUUCAGCAAGCAGCGUCAUCGGUGUUUGCGGCCUUGGACAAGGACAAUGACGGCAAGGUUUCCGCGUUCGAGCUGCGUGGCUGCAUGGUGGUGGAGCUUGGCGAGGACGUGUUCGAGGAGGCGGCGGCGAUCCUCGGAAAGGCUAAGGGGUGAUCGAUCGCCC